UGAAUGACAUGCUUUCGGAUACAAACAGACUCCUUUAAGAAAUCAAUGUUAACUUAGAGAGCCAAUAAAAUCCCCUUGGGAAAAGUGGACCCACAUCUUGUCUACACAAUCCCUGUGCAGGCUUUCUCACCUGUGUGAUCCAUGGCUGAGGCUCAGAAGAAACAAGAGGGAUGGGCCAUCAAUCACCAGAUGAUCCUCAGUGAGGGAUAAUAUCCUCUCAAUAUUUGAGUCACACUUCUACAGAGGACCCCUCAACUGCCCAUCUGUGGGACACGACAGAGGCAAAAUCCUGCCCCUGUCUCUCUCGGACCUGGCUGGAUACUGCUUUCACUAACCCACGAAGCAACCAUGCCCUAACAGCUAGCAAGAGAAUAAGACCCACAGAACAACCACCACCACCUCUCUGUCAGCAGGAAGCAGUUACAAAAGACUGACCUUUCCCAACAAAUUGGGUCUUGAACUCUUGAGGGGGGAAAUGUUAGAGUAGGUAGUUAGGCAGACAUGAGCAGGGCAGGAGAGGUCCCUGCCCAACCCAGGAAUGUCAGGUGACUAUCAGGUUAUGGUCAGGUGGUUGUUAUCUGUCUUGCUAAAAUAAUAAUUGGCUGCAGCUGGUGCCAGGGAACAGUAUCUCCCAAUAGAUGAAAAACAACUGAAGUUGAUGACCAGCAGCUUCCCAAUAAGAUCUCAGGAGUUGGGUGAGUGGGCUCAAGCAUGCACACUAAGAGCUGAAUGGCAGUGUUAACAGGUAAAUGACCUUCUUCUAGGAACGCCUGACUGGUAUGAGAAAAAUGCCUCAACUAAGCCUGUGUACAACUUCAGCAAACACACUGUGCUUGCAGCCCCUCCCAAGUGCUGGCAGGCCACUGAGCAUGCAGACAGCCUACCCCAAAAGAAGUAACGGGGAGAAGUAACACAACCCCAGAAGCAUCUCAAUACAUAAAACUUCAAGUUAAAGAUCAAACAGCACACUUGAAUCUCUCAAGUCACCUGCUU
rnacentral:lncRNA from 1 species